CAAUAGCGUAUAUUAAAGUUGUUGCAGUUAAAAAGCUCGUAGUUGGAUUUCUGGUGGGAGCGAUCGGUCUGGCGCUUAGCGCGAGUACUUGCAUCGUCUCCGGCCAUCCUUGGGGAGAGUCUGUCUGGCAUUAAGUUGUCGGGCAGAGGAUCCUCAUCGUUUACUGUGAAAAAAUUAGAGUGUUCAAAGCAGGCUUAUGCCGUUGAAUAUAUUAGCAUGGAAUAAUAAGACAGGACUUUGAUACUAUUUUGUUGGUUUGCGCACCAAAGUAAUGAUUAAUAGGGACAGUUGGGGGUAUUCGUAUUCCGUUGUCAGAGGUGAAAUUCUUGGAUUUACGGAAGACGAACUACUGCGAAAGCAUUUACCAAGGAUGUUUUCAUUAA
rnacentral:rRNA from 1 species